GACGAACGCUGGCGGCGUGCCUAAUACAUGCAAGUAGAACGCAGUUGCGAACGGGUGAGUAACGCGUAGGUAACUGCCUCAUAGCGGGGGAUAACUAUUGAAAACGAUAGCUAAUACCCCAUACUGGGAGAUGGACCUGUGUUGUAUUAGAUAGGUGGUGGGGUAAAGGCUCACCAAGGCGUCGGUACAUAGCCGACCUGAGAGGUGGAUCGGCACCACUGGGACUGAGACACGGCCCAGACUCCUACGGGAGGCAGCGGUAGGGAAUCUUCGGCAAUGGACGGAAGUCGGACCGAGAAACGCCGCGUGAGUGAGGAGGAUUUUCGGAUCGUAAAGCGCUGUUGUUAGGGAGGAGGUAACUAACCAGAAAGGGACGGCUAACUACGUGCCAGGAGCCGCGGUAAUUC
rnacentral:rRNA from 1 species